CCUACGGGAGGCUGCAGUGGGGAAUAUUGGACAAUGGGCGAAAGCCUGAUCCAGCCAUGCCGCGUGUGUGAAGAAGGCCUUCGGGUUGUAAAGCACUUUCAGUGGGGAAGAAAGCCUUGGGGCUAAUACCCUCGAGGAAGGACAUCACCCACAGAAGAAGCACCGGCUAACUCCGUACCAGCAGCCGCGGUAAUACGGAGGGUGCGAGCGUUAAUCGGAAUUACUGGGCGUAAAGCGCGCGUAGGCGGUCUGAUAAGCCGGUUGUGAAAGCCCCGGGCUCAACCUGGGAACGGCAUCCGGAACUGUCAGGCUAGAGUGCAGGAGAGGAAGGUAGAAUUCCCGGUGUAGCGGUGAAAUGCGUAGAGAUCGGGAGGAAUACCAGUGGCGAGGCGGCCUUCUGGACUGACACUGACGCUGAGGUGCGAAAGCGUGGGUAGCAAACAGGAUUAGAUACCCUGGUAGUC
rnacentral:rRNA from 1 species